UAAAUUAAUAAAAAAAAUAAAAUUGAUUUUUUUUUAAUUCCAAUUUUUACGUAAUUCGAAGAUCGUUGACGCGUCUUUUAACGUUUGUUCGAAAUACGUCACAUGACGAUUCGCAGUUCGAUUGCGUUUCUGGUUCUGGUUGGACGUGCUUUUCUUGCGCUCGUAAUUUAUGUGCUGUUUUUCGCUGUUUGCGGACUUUUCGGUAGAAGAUUAAAGAUUUUUCAGGUAAGUCUUAGUCCAUAUUGACCCUAGACGUAAGAAUUUGUUUAAUAUUACUUAGAGAAUCGCUCCCAGAAGACAUCUCGGCACAUCGUUCGAUGGUCGGCCGUUUUCGUUUUGAAUCUUUUACAUUUAAAAAGGCAGCUGCGAAUGAAGAUGUUUGCGUGGUUUCGCCGGAGGUUCCGACAGAAGAAUGCCGGAGGGAGGGGGUUUCUCGGACGGCUCCGAUGAGACGUUCGAGGACCGUGAGCUCAACUGAGUCUCUGUCGAAUCGAUUAGUUCGGUGUCGUUUGAGGCCGUCGAGCAUGAGGCAGCGGGUGGUGACGACCUUCCUCCAGUGCGUGUGGCGUGGGACUCUCCCAGAGGCGGGAGAGUUCUGAGUCCAUUCCACUUGGCUAAGGUCGUCAGGGAUCAGCCGGCCUAUGUCCUUGUUAAGUAAGGCAUAGGGAGUACCGAGUCCUCUUGGAGUUCGUCUAUUUUCACGAGAUCUGCCUCUCGGUCUGUGCUCGCGAGUACGUCGCCAUCGUCUUUCGGAAGUCGGAACGGGGAAGAUUCGGAGGAGAGCACCGCCGAAAUCGAGGAACUGCGGCUUUGUUGCUGUGGGUGGCUGUGGUUCUCUUGGCCUAGGCAGUGAUCCUUUUCGAUUUUCCCUAAUUCGUCCUUUGCACCCGGAUGCGACAUUCUGACCGGAUUCGACACUUUUCAUCCGGACAUGAUCUCUUUACUCGGACUUGGCCUUCUCUUACCCGGAUGUUCUCAUGGACUUGUCUCCCAAACGUGACACUCGAUGACAACAAUGGAUUUGACUUCCGAUUGUGACCACCCGGACGCGACAUUCGGCCUACCUUUCUUCCCAAGCAGCUGUUAUGAGGAUUGAGCUUCCGGUUACGGUAAGUUAGGCUAGGCUAGGUCAGGUCAGGUCCUUCGCUCUUCUCAUAACACUGUUCGGGAAGAAAGACUGUCUGAUAAAGGAACAUUUGGGAGGGAGAAGAAUCUCCCUCCCCAACUUUACCGCGAAGAGGAUGAAAUGGCCAUUUAUCGUGCAAGUGAAUAUUUUCCGAAAUCUUCGAUGGUAAGAACUCUUUCGUUUCAUUUUUUAACACGUCUUAUUCUCGUAUCGUAAUUGACUGUUUUUCUGUUUAUGAACAUGCCGAAGAUGUUCUUCGAUCACACAUGCACGAACAUAACAUCACUGUACACGAAGAUAUACACCGUUUAACCUUUACUUGAAUUCUUGCACACACGCACUUACACUUCAAGUGCUUUGUUCCGUGUAAUUCGACACAAUGAAACAACCCGAACACGCGCUUCCCACAAAUCCAACCCCUGGGUCCUCGUCCCGGGGAGUGGAAACGCCAAUUUUAAAGAUUAAAAGACUUUAAAUUGGCAGCCAAAGGGGCUCUGGUAAUUACAAUUUGCACUCAUUACACAGAAUUUCAGGUACAGUAAAACCUGUCUAUGGCGACCACCCACAGUUCUUUUAAAAAGUGGUCUUUUAGACAGGUGGUCGUCCAAUACAGGUGGUCCUGUAAUAACGUAUUUCCGUACGUAUUU
rnacentral:lncRNA from 1 species